UUUUUGUAGCAUUUUAAACUUCUUUUCUUUGCUGAAACAAGACCUCUGUAACUUAUGUCUUCAGAUAAAUGCUGUAUUUCAUCGGAUCACAACCCUUCAUUUACAGUCCAAAAUUCCUGUCCAAACUGGAUCGGUUCUCUCUACUAAAAGUGUUUAGAAAAAAAAAAAAAAAAAGAUUUAAGAUGUGAUGGUGCCAAUGUCUCCGGUUGUAUUGUUAUUUUUAUUUAACUUUUUUAUAUAUUGCUUUUUAAUACAAGCUAUAGUGCUCAGUAAUGCAUAAUGGCCCAGAGAUGUGUAUUGGAGGGUGUCAAAUGUAUGAAUAUCAGAAACUUAAAAAAUAUGUUUUGUCUGUUUUCAUAUAAUGCCACCAUGGAGACCAAGCAAGAGUGCAUUCUCAAGGGGCAUUGAGAAUAUCUGAAAUAAGUCAAAAUUAAGUCAACUUUCCCUGUUGGGUUUGUCUCAGACUGUGGGUGUACAGUGGUGUCUUCUGUGACGUAGAGUAUAUAAAGAGUUUAUGAUCGAGGUCAAUGAGGAUUAUCUGACCUCCAGAGAUAAGAACUUGUGGAACACAGGGCUACACUCUGAUUUCGCGGGAUGCUGAGGACUGUGUGCCAGUGUUCCUCAAACACAUCGCCAAUGAAGUCUGUGUCUGCAAGCUGCUAUAAAUCUGCUGCACACAGGCCAUGAGGACUGAACAGGCCAGACAGGAGCUCAUUAACCAGGGCAGUGUGUCAGCGGCCAAGACCCUGGAGAGAAUCAGAGGUCCCCAGGUGUCACCGCGUCUGGCGGAAGAGGCCCAGAAGAGAGAGCGAUUCGAAGAGAUGAAACAGCAGCUGGAGCUGGACCAGGAGGAUGGAUCUGAUCCGUACAGUCAGUUAUCUGAAGCCGAGAGCUCAGAGCCAUGUGGAAGGUGCAGAGGAUGAAACUCGAUGAGCACAGAGUGAACUUCCUGCAGCAGGAACAAAUGAAUGUACAGGGACAGAUAAGGGGAAGUCUUUAUCUCUGAGGUGCUAUGAUUUCUCUCGAGGCUCCUCUGGAGAAGUUUCCUUUAGGUCAGGAGGGCCUCGCUGUACAACUACACAGUGAGCUCUUGUGGCAGCAGAAUCUACGAGAACAGCAAAUAGCAGAUUCUGUUCUCCCAGAAUCCUCUGUUCCUCCAUGUCCUCCUGCCAUUGGUGAAGCUCAAGCUCUCGUAUCAGACGAACACAACAUUGCUGACUCCAUCCGCAAUCCCUUAUAGUGGUGCCGUGACCCAUUCCCUUCACAACAUUUUAUCUGACCCAUGCAAUCCCCUCAGAAACCCCACCCACAGCAGCCACACCCAUCAACCUCCCACAUGUGUCUGUGAAUACGUGAUGGAAUUCCUAGAGGCUGUCUCUGGGAUACACAGAUACGCUUCCAAGUCCAGCUUCCCACUGGGUCAGUUCACUCCAGAGGUGCCAGCAGGUGUCACCCAAAGGCUAGGAUUCAUGGCCACCCUUCACAGAGCUCCGUACAGCUGGGAGACUCCACCACCUCGGGGCAGAACACAGGCCGAAUCCGCUCUGAGUCAAACACCCCUGCACAAACCACUCAAGAGCGAAGACAUGUGAGACACGGAGAGAUAGCCAGUGUACAGAAAAACAACCGACUGGAGAAGAGACAGCAACAGAGCCCUCAGUGGCCAGCACAGGUUCAGUGCCAAAGCAAGCCGCCCAGGAGCCAACAGAGGAAGCCAAGUCCUGUGAGAGUGUCAGCCAGCCCUCUCACUGUUCUCAGCCAGAGCAAGAACAAUCUGUGUCUCUUCUCAGAAGCUUCCAUGAGUCAGAGUCUGAUUCUGCCAUGAUCCUGAUCCAGCACUGAUCUCAUCUUUGCAGAGACUCCUCUGGAGUCUGUGGCCACGCCCAUAUAAGGGCUGGCGAACAUGUUUCUGAAGAGACAACUCCCCUUCCCACACCUAACAUCCAUGGCCACGCCUCUGACGCCCAUAUAAGGGCUGGCGAACAUGUUUCUGAAGAGACAACUCCCCUUCCCACACCUAACAUCCAUGGCCACGCCUCUGACGCCCAUAUAAGGGUUGGUGUACAUGUUUCUGAAGGGUGGUGCCAGGGAGUUUGAACCGACAGAGAUGCUCCAACUAAAUCUGACCGAACAUCAGAAGAUACAGAGAAACCUUGCGUAAUAAUCGCCCCCUAGUGAGUUGUUCACUCUGGAUGAGGGACUGUCUGCCUGGGCUCUGGGAUUGUCUCCUAAAGGCUAUGUACUCAGCCUGACCUCACAGUACCAGGACUUGUAUGGUCUGAGUGACAAUUACCUGGACCGUCUGCCUUUAUCAUGACCCACCCACUAGAGCGUUCUCUCUUUCUGUCUGAAACUGAGAGCUGUGCAGUGGUCUGACCCCGCUGGUGUUGAACUCCAUUCUCAGUAAGACCUUACAGUACAGUGUUCAGGGAGACGGCGAGCUGGCGGCUCACUUCACCUCCCUGAGAUCUUCCAUCCUCACGUGUCAGACUCACCGAACGGUCUCGAGCUCCGCUACAAGGUGGACUGGCCGGUGAAUAUCGUCAUCACGGACAGCUGUCUGAACAAAUACAACAGACUCUUCUCUUUCCUGCUGAAGCUCAAAACACAUGGUGUGGACCCUCCGAGACGUCUGGCUUCACCACCUUCAUCUCUACUGGCGAGAUUUCUGCCCUGCUUUCUUUUUCCACCCCUCAUUAUACACCCAGAAAAUGUAUGAAAAUGCAUAUGAAACAUCUGGCUUACUGUGCAAAACGUUACUGCUUUAUCACAUUCAGCCCAUCCAUACUGAAGAGCAUCUCAAUUCAUUCAGACUUCUAUUGAAAAUCUAUUGCCAUCUUUUUGUGGCAGAUGAAAUCACCCAUCCCACGAAAACCUCUAUAUUUUUGCUGUCAUGCACAGUGUGCAAGACAAGGGGCUGCUGUAAAACUAACCAGAUGGUGCAGUCUUUAGAAAACCUGGCUAAAUAAAUACUGUUUUGUUGCCAACAAAGUCAUCACAAAUACAGCUUGUUCUCCAGCAGAGAUCACACAAGCCAAGUGCUCCUGCAGGAAGUUCAGACGCCUCCAAACACUUCUGUAGUGUUUCAUCUUUCCUUGAAUGAAGAGUUCUUCAUUACAGGAACUUGUGGUGACCAAACUGGUGGAGAAAGGCUAUCAGCCCCAUCUGGAGGACUUCCUGUUGCAGAUCAACCUUAAGAACUGAUACUAAGACUGUUGAUUGUCGUGUGUAUGGAUUUGAGCACUCCAGAUCUCCUGCUUCAGUGUUCUGUGUGGAGAUGUGAGGGGAGGACAGGAGAACGGCAGCAGAGAAUGUGUGUGUGUGUGUGUGUGUGUGUUCAGAUCAGGCCUCGGACUCCUGCUCGUCCGGUCCGGCUGCUUCCGCUUCGUCUCCCGUCUCGCUCUCCAGCAGCAAAAACUUGCCGUCGUUUGUCAAAGGCAUCGACUUCAUCAGCUGCGCCAGAGCUUCAGGGUCCUGAUGAACACAUGAACAACCGCUGAGUUCAUGGUCUGCAGACGGACCUUCUCUCCUUCAGUGUUGCUCUCAAACACGAACACGCUGAAGGAGGCCUGAUCCUCGCCUCCGUUGCUCCAGUCGCUCCCCUGCAGGACAAAGCCCAUCAGCCUGCUGUUCUCCUG